rnacentral:lncRNA from 1 species
GGUCGAACCAAACAGCCGGGAAGCUCCGGUUUUGGUCAGAGCUAUUCAGAAUAUCCAAACCGCUAUCAACUCGGCCGGUUUAGGAGGCCGGAUGAAAGUCUCCACGUCCUUUAAGUUCAAUAUCAUGGGCAAUACAUACCCGCCGGCCCAAGGCACUUUCAACCAAGCUUAUAUGGGCCUUCUGAGGCCCAUAUUGGACUUUUUAGUGGCCAAUCAAUCCCCGGUGCUAUUAAAUUUGUACCCAUUUUUCAGUCAUCGUGAUAAUCCGAAUUCUGUACCACUUAACUAUGCCCUAUUCAGAGGUCCGUCCGAUCAGGGCACCGGGUAUGAAAACCUUUUCUUUGCGAUGUUGGAUUCCACGUACUAUGCCCUGGAACGAGAAGGAAAGGGGAGUCUGAACAUCGUAGUGUCGGAGAGCGGGUGGCCGUCGGCAGGAGGAGGGGCUCCGACAACGGUGGAUAAUGCAAGGACUUACAACAACAAUUUGGUACAACAGGUUAAAAGAGGGACACCAAAGCGUCCCGGUAGGCCAAUUGAGACGUAUAUUUUUGCGAUGUUUGACGAAGGGAACAAGGGCGGGGAACCGCUAGAGAAACAUUUCGGGUUGUUUAGUCCUAAUAGGCAGCCAAAGUAUCCGAUGCGGUUCGACUAAAAUCGAUAUUCGAUACACAUUGAUACCAAAUGAGUGAAACAGAGGGAUCAAUGUGGAGAAGUUUAAAAUAAGUGAAGAGCUUAAAUGGCAACUAAAUAAAAGAUUAUACGUAUUAAUGUAAUUUUGUCCUCCCUAUUUCUACAAACUUAAGGGGAUGGAUUUUUCUCUAUGUAAUGGGUUUUGGAUAUUGAAAUACAAUUCAACCGGGCCAAAACGAACCAAAUCCAUUAGAUCCUGAAAUUUGGGUUUUUAUCAAUCGAUAUUACAUUUUCGAAGUUCACAUAGCUUAGAUUUCAUUUUAACCUUUAAAUCUGAUAAAAAGUUGAUCCAACUGCUUA